rnacentral:rRNA from 1 species
GGUCAUGCUGGGGACGUCUACAAAACUAGCCGCCGUAAGCGUGGAGGAAGGUGGGGAUGACGUCAAAUCAGCACGGCCCUUACGUCCAGGGCUACACACGUGCUACAAUGGCAGGUACAGAGGGCAGCCACUUGGUGACAAGGAGCAAAUCUCAAAAGCCGGUCUCAGUUCGGAUCGGAGUCUGCAACUCGACUCCGUGAAGUUGGAUUCGCUAGUAAUCGUAGAUCAGCAAUGCUACGGUGAAUACGUUCCCGGGCCUU